rnacentral:rRNA from 1 species
CUGGGCGUAAGCGCGCGCAGGCGGCCAUUCAAGUCAGGGGUGAAAGCCCAGAGCUCAACUCUGGAACUGCCCUUGAAACUGUAUGGCUUGAGUAUGAGAGAGGUGAGUGGAAUUCCCAGUGUAGAGGUGAAAUUCGUAGAUAUUGGGAAGAACACCGGUGGCGAAGGCGGCUCACUGGCUCAUUACUGACGCUCAGGCGCGACAGCGUGGGGAUCAAACAGGAUUAGAUACCCUGGUAGUCCACGCCGUAAACUAUGAACGCUAGCCGUUGGGCAGCUUGCUGCUCAGUGGCGCAGCUAACGCAUUAAGCGUUCCGCCUGGGGAGUACGGCCGCAAGGUUGAAACUCAAAGAAAUUGACGGGGGCCCGCACAAGCGGUGGAGCAUGUGGUUUAAUUCGACGCAACGCGCAGAACCUUACCAGGGUUUGACAUCCUGAGACCGCUCCUGAAAGGGAGUUUCCCGCAAGGGCUCAGAGACAGGUGCUGCAUGGCUGUCGUCAGCUCGUGUCGUGAGAUGUUGGGUUAAGUCCCGCAACGAGCGCAACCCUCGCCUUUAGUUGCCAUCAUUAAGUUGGGCACUCUAGAGGGACCGCCGGCGACAAGCCGGAGGAAGGUGGGGAUGACGUC